CAAUUUGGAAAAAAAUUUAAACGAUGCAAAGUCAAAAAGUUCAGUGCCAUACCUCCACGAGCAACUGGAACUGAAGCAGCGAUUGAAGUUGUGUUCGAUAGUACUACUCCUAUUGCAGAUCUCCCACAGAAUAAUGUUGUUGCUCAAGUCUUAGUAACAGCUGUGAGUAAUCCCAACAAUACCUUCGAUGUGAGCAUAGAUCCGGGAUCAGUCAAAGUAGUAGAAGGUCCAAUUCCAACUACAGCACCUACAACUGCUUUAUCCACAACUGCUGUAUCUACAACGGCCGCACCUUCAACUACUUUAUCCACCACUGCUGUAUCUUCAACAAUUGCACCGUCAACUGCUGUAUCUACUACUGCUGUAUCUACAACUGCUGCACUCACAAUAGCGAGAGUGUCCUUCAGAUCUGUUCAAAGCACAUUUACAGAUGACUUGCUGAAUCCAUCAUCCACAGCUUUUAAAAAUCGCGAAGCAUUGAUAAAUGGAGAGGUAAGUCUCACCCUUAGAAUGAAAUAUCCUUGUACACUUAUGAAUUACUUUUUCAGAGAGCUCAAGUACUCACCAAAGAACUGAACAAUCCCUUGACAGUCAUGUAAUGAAAAAA